GUCCGAUAAUAUUUUAUCAUGGGCAAACCAGCAGUGGAAAGCACGAAGAGAAGACUUCUCUCAUUAGACCACAGGCAAUUCUCCUGGGAGGCUGCUGCUGUGAUUCAGACAGCCCUGAAGAGUUUCCUUCUCCUGGUGAACUACUUCAGUCCUUGCAGUAACCUGAAAUCCACUGCCUACUAAGGCGGCUGGAAGCCACUUCUGCUGGCUUGUGUCUUCUGUGGUCAACAGGAAAAUAAAUAUUUGCUUGUGUUUUCAGCUUGCUACUGCACAGUCUUCUGCAUGGCCGCAGCAAAGCAAGUAGUGCAGCAAGUCUGUGCAAUAAGAUAUCCGUCCAAAAAGCCUGUUUUAAUCUUCCUAGCUUUCUUCAAGAAACAGUCCUACAAGGCAACAGGACUUCAUAUGUGCAAUAAGUAGAAGCUGCCUGGUUCUCAAGGCCUACUACCAUUGCUGCUGGUGGAAUUACUCCCAAUUUGUUUCCCAUUAAACAAGAAAGGAGCUUGCCAGAAGUUUAAAAAGGGCCUUUCUGUUAACUGAAACAAAACAUAGUUUCUACUGUGAAGGUUUGGUAGUCCACAAAUCCAUAGCAGCUGACCAUCCUUCUCUUUUCUGUCAUUUCGCCGGAGGCAUGCUGCCAAGAUCUGAAAUAUGCUGUUAAAAAUACACGGCAUUUUCAUUAGGGAAUUCUAGGUUACUCUGAGGUGAAGCUGUCCAUGGGGAGCAAGAAGCGUGUAGGGGGGUUGCUGGUUUGCAGCAGCACCUUCCCAAGGGCAUUCCCUGGGAUCUGGGACAAAACCUACCAGCCUGCUGUCAAGGAAGCAGUGAUAAGGAGAGGAGUAAAGGGAGAAGUUCAGUAUUUAAUUGGAAAAGGUACGUAGGAAGGAAGAAGACAGGCUUCUCCUGGCACACUGAGGAUCUUACCAGAAGCCAAAACUGACGACGGGGAAGGUGCUAAAGGAAAGGACAGAAGAGGGGAGGGGAACUGUCCCACUGUGGCUACGGAGAAGGGCUUCGGAAAACAACAGCAAAAAUAGCCACGCUGCUUUAUCAUCGCUGAUGGACAACUGCUGCCCCGCUCACACGCUGCUUUCUCUGGAGAGCUUUCAAACCCGGCCGCCCAUGCCAGGGGCUGCCGGAGGCGGACGGGGACUCUUACAGAGAAGGCUCAGUGGCCGGCCUGCCCCGCUGAGCAUUUCGCUCCAUGCCACAAAUAGACGUGCCGAGCAGUCACGGCUCCAAACAAGGUGCUUGGCAAAAGCAGCUGCUGCUUGGCAACCUACUCGUGCCACUGUGAAAUAUCACUGCGUCACCAGCGCCGUCGGGAGGCCACAUGCCCCGUCGGGUUACGUGGGGAAGGGAUAAGUAAUCACAGUGCAUCCCUCCCCUUCCCACAUAGGUGUGGGUGAUUUAAUUUUAAUUGUAUUUAACACAAAUGCUAUGCAACGGCCCUCACACGCACAAUACAGAACAACUAGAACAGAAGUUUUGCUGCAAAAUGGGUGGACUUGCAGUGCACUGUGCUGGUUUCUGCACCAACUUUUUAAAGCACUAAUUGACCUUUUGCAUCUUUUUUUAUUGAAAUCAAAUACACUCUUGGGUUCUGGUUGCUGCAAUUGUUUAUCCCUUAAGCAAUAAAAUACUUUCCAUGUUAA